CUAUGGGCAACUGGGCAAGUUUUCCUCUGCACAGGUUUUGAUAAAUCUCCCCCAUACUUUUGUUAAGGCGAGGAUCAGAAUCCGCUGACAUAGUGAGGAACCAUCUGGGUAUCAAGUUCUGCUGAGUGAACAUUUAGCUGAAACAAAUCCUGGCGAUUCCAGCAUGACCAGCCAACAGAGAAGAAUAACCCCAUUUCAAGAUCCGGAGUUUCAAACGAGAAGAAACAUAAGUCUUCCCAGGGGGCAGAUGCUGAAGACUUGCUGGUGCUGCAGAAAUAAGACUGUGAUAGCUUGGGGAUGUAGGGUAUGGGGAGUGUGGCUGUGCGGUAAUUAAAGGGUGCUUGUUAACCCUUGCUAUUCGUGACGCCAGGGUGUGGGCUCCUCAGUAAUGCUUGUCCUACCGCCACCC